rnacentral:rRNA from 1 species
CCUACGGGUGGCAGCAGUGAGGAAUAUUGGUCAAUGGCCGGAAGUCUGAACCAGCCAAGCCGCGUGAAGGACGAAGGUGCCAAGCAUUGUAAACUUCUUUUGUCAAGGGACAAAAUCAGGCUCGAGAGCCUGACCGAGGGUACUUGAAGAAAAAGCAUCGGCUAACUCCGUGCCAGCAGCCGCGGUAAUACGGAGGAUGCGAGCGUUAUCCGGAUUUAGUGGGUUAAAAGGGUGCGUAGGCGGACUGUUAAGUCGGCGGUAAAAGCCCGGGGCUCAACCCCGGCGAGCCGUUGAAACUGGCUGUCUUGAGAUGUCGAGAGGUAUGCGGAAUGCGCAGUGUAGCGGUGAAAUGCUUAGAUAUUGCGCAGAACUCCGAUUGCGAAGGCAGCAUACCGGAGGCGAUCUGACGCUGAGGCACGAAAGCGAGGGUAUCGAACAGGAUUAGAUACCCGGGUAGUC